GGGUGCGAUCAUACCAACAUUAAUUCUCUGUUUCCCAUCAGAAGUUCACAGUUAAGCACGCUUGGGCUAGAGUAGUACUAGGAUGGGUGACCUCCCUGGAAGUCCUAGUGUUGCACCCU
rnacentral:rRNA from 1 species